rnacentral:rRNA from 1 species
UACGUAGGGGGCAAGCGUUGUCCGGAUUUAUUGGGCGUAAAGAGCGUGUAGGCGGCCACACAGGUCUGCUGUGAAAACUCGAGGCUCAACCUCGAGCUGUCGGUGGAAACCGUGUGGCUAGAGUCCGGAAGAGGAGAGUGGAAUUCCCGGUGUAGCGGUGAAAUGCGCAGAUAUCGGGAAGAACACCCGUGGCGAAGGCGGCUCUCUGGGACGGUACUGACGCUGGGACGCGAAAGCGUGGGGAGCGAACAGG